UACGGAGGGUGCGAGCGUUGUUCGGAAUUACUGGGCGUAAAGGGCGCGUAGGCGGCCUACUAAGUCAGACGUGAAAUCCCCCGGCUUAACCUGGGAACUGCGUCUGAUACUGGAAGGCUUGAGUAUGGGAGAGGGAUGUAGAAUUCCAGGUGAUAGCGGUGAAAUGCGUAGAUAUCUGGAGGAAUACCGGUGGCGAAGGCGGCAUCCUGGACCAUUACUGACGGCUGAGGAGCGAAAGCCAGGGGAGCAAAGCGGG
rnacentral:rRNA from 1 species